rnacentral:lncRNA from 1 species
UUUUUCCUUUUCUUUUUUUUUUUUAAAUAUGUGAAUUGUGAUAUACCAGUUCAUUGUCUAAGUAGACAUGUUAUUGGAACAUGGGAAAUAAAUAUAGGAUUGUUGAAAAGGACCAAUAUGGUUGAUACAGACUAUGAUUAUAAUUGUGGGUAUAAACGGCCAGACCAUGAAGAUUACCACGGUGUAACACAUAAAAUAAAUAUAAAAUAAAUUUAUAUAAAUGAGUUCGAUCACAUAUAAAUAUAUAUAGUGCUACUUAUAUAAACGAGCUCAUUUUGCAAUUACAAAACUUUUUUUUUUUUUUUUUUUUUUUUUUUUUUUUUUUUUUUUUUUUUUUUAUUACAUAUAUUACAAAAACAUAUGUGUUCACAUGUCUUAAUAGUAUGUACAAAUUUAUUACGUGUAAAUUUUAUUUUAUUUUAUUUUAUUUUUUUUUUUUUUAUUCUACCUUUUUGUGAUAGAAAACCUAAACCCUGAGAUAUUAAAAGAAAAGUUUGAAAGAAAAAAAAAAAUGUUUCUCGUAUUUAAUAAUGAUAGAACUGUAAAUGUAAUAGUGAAUAAUAAAAAGAGUUAUGAUUAUGGUGGUUACUGGAGAAUAAUAUACGAUGAAGGUUUAUAUAUGGAGCUAUACAAUAUAAAAAAAAAAACAAAAGAAAUUUAUUUUUCUUUUUUUAAGUUUAAAAAGAUAGAAAAUAUGUCUUACAGUUAUUGUUAUAACUUCAUUAUGGGUAUGACAAAUAUAUAUCAGUUAAAAAAAUGGUCUACUGGGCAGUUUCCAUUUAGUAAUAAAAAAAUUGAUGAAGAUAUAUAUAGCAGUGUGAACAGGAAGGAAUUUAAUAAUGAUAGAGAAAUAAAUUUUAAUGAACAAGGUAAGAUGACCAAAGGAAAUAGUAACACAUAUUAUAACACAAGUGAAAAAAAAAAGAAAUAUAAAAAUCGUGGUUUCUUGUUUUAUUAUAAUAAAAAAUGGAACUCUUUUUUUAAUUGUAAAAACGAUGAUAAUUACUUUAAAACUAAUGAACGUUUUAACAGUUUAAAAGGAUUUGUUUCAUUAAAACGUAAAAUGUGCAAACCGAUUGAGUAUACUACCAGUACGAUUAUGCUGGGACAACCCAUAUUGAAUAAUUAUUACAUACAGAAUGAUAAAAAAAAAAGAAGAUUUAACUUAUCAAAGAAAUUAAUUAAAUUUGCAACUAUAAUAGAUAGUUAUGUCGAUAAUUCCAUAAAUUUUGAUGAAUUAAAUUUAAAUAGGUAUUGUUGGAGUGGGCACAAAAUAAAUGUACCUACAAAUAAUCCAACAAAUAUAAUUCCGGUUAGUGGUAUACAUCCAUCAAAAACAAAUAAAACGUUAACACAUGAUAAAAACGAUAACAUAGUGAAUAUGGAAAACGUAAAAUCUAAGUUGGCAACAGUAAAUGCAACUAUACAAGUAAACGAAAAAAUUAUCCCUAAAAAAAGUGACUAUGUUAAAACAUAUAGGAACAGUUACAACAUUGGUAAUGGAAAAAUCACUUAUAACAAUGUUGAAAGUGCUAACAUAAAUAAUACAAUAAAACAUACAUACAUAAACAAAAUUAAAUCAAAUGACAAUAAAAAAAAAUUAAAACAAAAUAGUUUAGUAGACAAAUAUAGUGACAAAAUAGUAAAGUUAAAAGAAUUUGAUUGGACUAAUGAAAAUGAUGUAAAAAAAAGAUUAAAUAGUAAUACUUAUGUAAAAAUUAUUGAUGAACCGAUAAAUCAAAAAAGUUGUGGUUCUUGUUAUGCCAACUCAGCUAUAAUUAUAAUUAAUAGCAGAUUAAGAAUUAAAUAUCAUUAUAUAAAAAAUAUAGACUUCUUAUUAUAUGGUAAAGAUCAGUUAGUUUUAUGUGAUAUGUUUAAUCAAGGUUGUGAUGGUGGUUAUAUAUAUAUAUCUUUAAAAUAUGCAUAUGAAAAUUAUUUAUAUACUAAUUCGUGUUUUUCAAAAUAUUUGUAUGAACAUAUGAGUGGGGACAGUACUAACGAUAAUGCAGUAUGCGAAUAUUUUGAUACGUUCAGUAUAUUUUUAAGUAAAAAACAAAAAAGUGAUAUCAAUGGUAUUAAUACUGUUGGUGGUAUGAGUAAAAGUUUUAGAAGCCAUAUACCCAAUAUAAGUUCCCAAAUGAAAAAAAAAAAUAAUACACUUUAUGAUAAUUAUGUACUUGUUACAAAACAAAUGAAUGAAAAAAAAAAAGUGGACCUAAAGAAAAUAAACAUAUGUGACACAAAAAUAAAAAUAAGACAAUUUUUUUAUUUAGAUAUACAAAAGGAAGAAGAUAUAAAAAAGUAUUUAUAUUAUAAUGGACCUAUUGCUGCUGCUAUUGAACCACCUAUUACGUUUACAAAAUAUAAACAUGGUAUAUUGAAAGGAAGUUAUAUAAAAAUGUAUGAUGGUGAUGAGUCGGAUGCGUAUAUAUGGAAUAAAGUAGACCAUGCUGUAGUGAUAGUUGGUUGGGGUGAAGAUACUCCAUCCAAUUUAAUUAACCGUGAAAAAGAGCAUGGACAUAUAUAUGAUAAGCAUAUAACAGAACAUCUAGCUAAACAUAUGUCUAAAAAUAUGUCGAAAGAUAUGUCUAAAAAACGUGAUAAUGAUAAAAAUAAAAAUGAUAACAACAGUAACAGCAAUACUGAUGAUAAUCCCAAUGUGAUAAAAUAUUGGAAGGUAUUAAACAGUUGGGGAAAAAACUGGGGAAGUCAUGGUUACUUUUAUAUGAUACGAAACCAGAACAGUUUUAAUAUAACAUCGUAUCUGCUAACGUGUGAUGUUAACAUGUUUAUAAAAAUG